rnacentral:rRNA from 1 species
AGAGUUUGAUCCUGGCUCAGGACGAACGCUGGCGGCGUGCCUAAUACAUGCAAGUCGAACGAGAGCGACCGGUGCUUGCACUGGUCAAUCUAGUGGCGAACGGGUGAGUAACACGUGGGUAACCUGCCCAUCAGAGGGGGAUAACAUCCGGAAACGGAUGCUAAAACCGCAUAGGUCUUCGAGCCGCAUGGCUUGAAGAGGAAAAGAGGCGCAAGCUUCUGCUGAUGGAUGGACCCGCGGUGCAUUAGCUAGUUGGUGAGGUAACGGCUCACCAAGGCCGUGAUGCAUAGCCGACCUGAGAGGGUGAUCGGCCACAUUGGGACUGAGACACGGCCCAAACUCCUACGGGAGGCAGCAGUAGGGAAUCUUCCGCAAUGGACGCAAGUCUGACGGAGCAACGCCGCGUGAGUGAAGAAGGUCUUCGGAUCGUAAAGCUCUGUUGUUAGAGAAGAACAGCGCAUAGAGUAACUGUUAUGCGUGUGACGGUAUCUAACCAGAAAGCCACGGCUAACUACGUGCCAGCAGCCGCGGUAAUACGUAGGUGGCAAGCGUUGUCCGGAUUUAUUGGGCGUAAAGCGAGCGCAGGCGGUUCCUUAAGUCUGAUGUGAAAGCCCCCGGCUCAACCGGGGAGGGUCAUUGGAAACUGGGGAACUUGAGUGCAGAAGAGGAGAGUGGAAUUCCAUGUGUAGCGGUGAAAUGCGUAGAUAUAUGGAGGAACACCAGUGGCGAAGGCGACUCUCUGGUCUGUAACUGACGCUGAGGCUCGAAAGCGUGGGUAGCAAACAGGAUUAGAUACCCUGGUAGUCCACGCCGUAAACGAUGAUUACUAGGUGUUGGGGGUCGAACCUCAGCGCCCAAGCAAACGCGAUAAGUAAUCCGCCUGGGGAGUACGUACGCAAGUAUGAAACUCAAAGGAAUUGACGGGGACCCGCACAAGCGGUGGAGCAUGUGGUUUAA